rnacentral:rRNA from 1 species
CGGACGGGUGAGUAACGCGUAAAGAACUUGCCUUACAGACUGGGACAACAUUUGGAAACGAAUGCUAAUACCGGAUAUUAUGAUUGGGUCGCAUGAUCUGAUUAUGAAAGCUAUAUGCGCUGUGAGAGAGCUUUGCGUCCCAUUAGUUAGUUGGUGAGGUAACGGCUCACCAAGACGAUGAUGGGUAGCCGGCCUGAGAGGGUGAACGGCCACAAGGGGACUGAGACACGGCCCUUACUCCUACGGGAGGCAGCAGUGGGGAAUAUUGGACAAUGGACCAAAAGUCUGAUCCAGCAAUUCUGUGUGCACGAAGAAGUUUUUCGGAAUGUAAAGUGCUUUCAGUUGGGAAGAAGUCAGUGACGGUACCAACAGAAGAAGCGACGGCUAAAUACGUGCCAGCAGCCGCGGUAAUACGUAUGUCGCAAGCGUUAUCCGGAUUUAUUGGGCGUAAAGCGCGUCUAGGCGGCUUAGUAAGUCUGAUGUGAAAAUGCGGGGCUCAACCCCGUAUUGCGUUGGAAACUGCUAAACUAGAGUACUGGAGAGGUAGGCGGAACUACAAGUGUAGAGGUGAAAUUCGUAGAUAUUUGUAGGAAUGCCGAUGGGGAAGCCAGCCUACUGGACAG